CAGCCGCCACGGUAAAACGAAGGGGGCUAGCGUUGUUCGGAAUUACUGGGCGUAAAGGGCGCGUAGGCGGCCAUUCAAGUUAGAUGUGAAAGCCCUGGGCUCAACCUAGGAAUUGCAUUUGAUACUGUUUGGCUUGAGUUCGGGAGAGGUGAGUGGAAUUCCCAGUGUAGAGGUGAAAUUCGUAGAUAUUGGGAAGAACACCAGUGGCGAAGGCGGCUCACUGGACCGACACUGACGCUGAGGCGCGAAAGCGUGGGGAGCAAACAGGAUUAGAUACCCCUGUAGUCCCUGUCUCUUAUAC
rnacentral:rRNA from 1 species